rnacentral:pre_miRNA from 1 species
AGGUAUUCUCGAGUGAAUAAUACAGAAAAGCCUGAUGUUAUUGCUUGAGAAUACACGU